rnacentral:rRNA from 1 species
CCUACGGGUGGCAGCAGUAGGGAAUAUUGCUCAAUGGGGGAAACCCUGAAGCAGCAACGCCGCGUGGAGGAUGAAGGUUUUAGGAUUGUAAACUCCUUUUGUGAGAGAAGAUAAUGACGGUAUCUCACGAAUAAGCACCGGCUAACUCCGUGCCAGCAGCCGCGGUAAUACGGAGGGUGCAAGCGUUACUCGGAAUGACUGGGCGUAAAGGGUGCGCAGGCGGGCUUGUAAGUCAGUUGUGAAAUCCUGUAGCUUAACUACAGAACUGCAAUUGAAACUGUGAGGCUAGAGUACGGGAGAGGUAGGUGGAAUUCGUGGUGUAGCGGUAAAAUGCGUAGAUAUCAAGAGGAAUACUCAUUGCGAAGGCGACCUACUGGAACACUACUGACGCUGAUGCACGAAAGCGUGGGGAGCAAACAGGAUUAGAUACCCGAGUAGUC